GCCCGGGUGGCGGAAUAGGCAGACGCACGGGACUUAAAAUCCCGCGACCUUUACCGGUCGUGCCGGUUCGACCCCGGCCUCGGGCACCA
rnacentral:tRNA from 1 species